rnacentral:ribozyme from 1 species
UUUGUUGUUUUUUCUUUCUUCCUCUUCUUUGUCUCUUCUUUUUCUUUUUAUCUUUUAGGGGGGCUAAAAGAUGAAAAAGCAAAGAGAAAAGAAACGGGGACGGAAAAAAAACCAUAAAACAAAAUCAAAGUCAACGAAAAAAAAAA